CCCCUCUCUCUGGUUCUCAGAGGAAGAUGCUUCUCCAUGCCAGUAUGCCAGGCUACAGGUAUAGGAACACCCCCUCUCUCUGGUUCUCAGAGGAAGAUGCUUCUCCAUGCCAGUAUGCCAGGCUACAGGUAUAGGAACACCCCCUCUCUCUGGUUCUCAGAGGAAGAUGCUUCUCCAUGCCAGUAUGCCAGGCUACAGGUAUAGGAACACCCCCUCUCUCUGGUUCUCAGAGGAAGAUGCUUCUCCAUGCCAGUAUGCCAGGCUACAGGUAUAGGAACACCCCCUCUCUCUGGUUCUCAGAGGAAGAUGCUUCUCCAUGCCAGUAUGCCAGGCUACAGGUAUAGGAACACCCCCUCUCUCUGGUUCUCAGAGGAAGAUGCUUCUCCAUGCCAGUAUGCCAGGCUACAGGUAUAGGAACACCCCCUCUCUCUGGUUCUCAGAGGAAGAUGCUUCUCCAUGCCAGUAUGCCAGGCUACAGGUAUAGGAACACCCCCUCUCUCUGGUUCUCAGAGGAAGAUGCUUCUCCAUGCCAGUAUGCCAGGCUACAGGUAUAGGAACACCCCCUCUCUCUGGUUCUCAGAGGAAGAUGCUUCUCCAUGCCAGUAUGCCAGGCUACAGGUAUAGGAACACCCCCUCUCUCUGGUUCUCAGAGGAAGAUGCUUCUCCAUGCCAGUAUGCCAGGCUACAGGUAUAGGAACACCCCCUCUCUCUGGUUCUCAGAGGAAGAUGCUUCUCCAUGCCAGUAUGCCAGGCUACAGGUAUAGGAA